CACGUAGGGUGCGAGCGUUGUCCGGAAUUAUUGGGCGUAAAGAGCUCGUAGGCGGUGUGUCGCGUCGGCCGUGAAAACCUGCAGCUUAACUGUGGGCUUGCGGUCGAUACGGGCAUCACUGGAGUUCGGCAGGGGAGACUGGAAUUCCUGGUGUAGCGGUGAAAUGCGCAGAUAUCAGGAGGAACACCGGUGGCGAAGGCGGGUCUCUGGGCAACAACUGACGCUGAGGAGCGAAAGCGUGGGGAGCGAACAGGAUUAGA
rnacentral:rRNA from 1 species